AAAGAAUCAAAAAAUUUAAAAUUAUUCGCAAGAAAUAAGUAGAUAUUGGUUUUAUUAAUCAACAUCAUAAUACGUCAAGCGAAGUUUUACCAGAAUUAAACUUAAGAGUUUGAUCCUGGCUCAGAUUGAACGCUGGCGGCAUGCUUUACACAUGCAAGUCGAACGGCAGCACGGGUGCUUGCACCUGGUGGCGAGUGGCGGACGGGUGAGUAAUGCAUCGGAACGUGUCCUAAAGUGGGGGAUAACGCAUCGAAAGAUGUGCUAAUACCGCAUAUUCUCUGAGGAGGAAAGUAGGGGAUCGAAAGACCUUAUGCUUUUGGAGCGGCCGAUGUCUGAUUAGCUAGUUGGUAAGGUAAUGGCUUACCAAGGCGACGAUCAGUAGUUGGUCUGAGAGGACGACCAGCCACACUGGGACUGAGACACGGCCCAGACUCCUACGGGA
rnacentral:rRNA from 1 species